CCUACGGGUGGCAGCAGUGGGGAAUAUUGCACAAUGGGGGAAACCCUGAUGCAGCAACGCCGCGUGAAUGAAGACGUUUUUCGGAUUGUAAACUUCUGUCAUUAGUGAAGAAUAAUGACGUUAGCUAAGGAGCAACCCACGGCUAACUACGUGCCAGCAGCCGCGGAAAUCCGUAGGUGGCAAGCGUUUGCCGGAAUUCCUGGGUGUAAAGGGAGCGCAGGCGGGAAGCCAAGUCAGCUGUGAAAGCUACGGGCUUAACUUGUAGACUGCAGUGGAACCUGGAUGCCUUGAGUGAAGGAGAGGUUGGCGGAAUUCCGAGUGUAGCGGUGAAAGGCGUAGAUAUUAGGAGGAACACCGGUGGCGAAGGCGGCCAACUGGGCUUUAACUGACGCUGAGGCUCGAAAGUGUGGGGAGCAAACAGGAUUAGAUACCCCAGUAGUC
rnacentral:rRNA from 1 species